CAGUCGCCGCGGUAAUACAGAGGGUGCAAGCGUUAAUCGGAAUUACUGGGCGUAAAGCGCGCGUAGGUGGUUUGUUAAGUUGGAUGUGAAAGCCCCGGGCUCAACCUGGGAACUGCAUCCAAAACUGACAAGCUAGAGUACGGUAGAGGGUGGUGGAAUUUCCUGUGUAGCGGUGAAAUGCGUAGAUAUAGGAAGGAACACCAGUGGCGAAGGCGACCACCUGGACUGAUACUGACACUGAGGUGCGAAAGCGUGGGGAGCAAACAGGAUUAGAUACCCGAGUAGUCCCUGUCUCUUAUAC
rnacentral:rRNA from 1 species